rnacentral:rRNA from 1 species
AACGAACGUUAGCGGCGCGCCUAACACAUGCAAGUCGCACGAGAAAGGGCUUCGGCCCCGGUACAGUGGCGCACGGGUGAGUAACACGUGGGUAAUCUGCAUUCGGGUGGGGGAUAACAUUCCGAAAGGAGUGCUAAUACCGCAUAAGACCACGCGCUCGAAAGAGAAAGCGGUCAAAGCUGGCCUCUAUAUAUAAGCUAGCGCCUGGAAAUGAGCCCGCGGCCCAUCAGCUAGUUGGUAGGGUAAUGGCCUACCAAGGCUUAGACGGGUAGCUGGUCUGAGAGGAUGAUCAGCCACACUGGAACUGAGACACGGUCCAGACUCCUACGGGAGGCAGCAGUGGGGAAUCUUGCGCAAUGGGCGAAAGCCUGACGCAGCGACGCCGCGUGAGUGAUGAAGGCCUU